rnacentral:tRNA from 11 species
GCGCCAUUAGCUCAGUUGGUUAGAGCAGCUGACUCUUAAUCAGCGGGUCCGGGGUUCGAGUCCCUGAUGGCGCACCC